rnacentral:sRNA from 1 species
GAAGAUGUGUGCGUGCCUGUCCAGUACGUC